UACGGAGGGUGCGAGCGUUGUCCGGAAUCAUUGGGCGUAAAGGGCGCGUAGGUGGCCCGGUCAGUUCGUGGUGAAAGCGCGGGGCUCAACCCUGCGUCGGCCAUGAAUACUGCCGCGGCUGGAGCACUGUAGAGGCAGGCGGAAUUCCGGGUGUAGCAGUGAAAUGCGUAGAGAUCAUGAGGAAGACCAGUGGCGAAGGCGGGUCUCUGGACAGUUCCUGACACUGAGGCACGAAGGCCAGGGGAGCAAACGGG
rnacentral:rRNA from 1 species